rnacentral:miRNA from 1 species
UAGUACGACCCGUGUCGGCCCA